rnacentral:rRNA from 1 species
GCAAGUCGAGGGGCAGCGCGACACCUCGGUGUUGGCGACGACCGGCGAACGGGUGCGUAACACGUAUACAAUCUGCCUUGUACUGGGGAAUAGCUUUUGGAAACGAAAAUUAAUGCCCCAUAUAAUGCCAGCAACACAUGUUGCAGGCAUGAAAGCUCCUGCGGUGCAAGAUGAGUAUGCGUCCUAUUAGCUAGUUGGUGAGGUAAUAGCUCACCAAGGCAACGAUAGGUAGGGGGUCUGAGAGGAUGAUC